rnacentral:lncRNA from 1 species
GGGGAGUCUGACUUUGAGAAAGUCAUGGUGUCUGGGGACUGGCCUGCACUUACAGCUACAGGUCUCCUAUCAAGAGGUUCCUAUGAGACCCCAGCACAUUGUCAUAUUGCUCUCAUUUCUCUCUUCUUUUUUGUCCCUGGGUCCUGAGAUCAAUCUGAACGACUGGUGAAUGGAUAUCCUUACCUGUGUUUUAACUAAUUGCUCAUUAUUGAGUGAAAUGUAGUAUCUUCCUUCCCAUCAGCCCUCACCUCCUAAAUUCUCUUGAUUACAUUCCAAAGCCAUGUUCAGCUAGUUCCAACCUCAUCUCCACGCCUGCGUGACCCUGGGUGGGAGAUUUAACUUCUGGAUCUCAGCCCUUGCUUCUGCUAUCUGUUUUACAGGGUCACUAUUAAAAAGAACUAAAAUCACCUCGGCAUUUGGCACUGAGUCCACAGAAAGUAGAGUCGGUAAGAAGGUGGCAACCUGGAAAUGUGGAUUGCAUUCAUCCUGGGCUUCUCCUACUGGAUGGCAAGGUCUGAACAAUUCGGAAACUCAGUCCUGGGAAACCGGCCAGAGAAGAAACGGAUGGACCUGCUCUCUGGAGGCUUCCGGUCUCCAGAGGCUUCCGGUCGCUGGAGGCUUCCGGUCUCCUGAGGUUUCCGGUCGCCGGAGGCUUCCGGUCUCACGCUAUAGGAAUGCGACAGUCAACCACAGCGAACGUCGCUGCGGUCUGAAAUUAUCAGUAAAUGGUUUCUGAGCAAGGCAGGAACUUAACUGAGCCUUUCCAAAUACUGUUGCUUCCACCUGGAACUCACCCUUCAUCUCAUCUUCUAGAAAAACACCUACGUUUCCUUAAAGAAUCUCCACGUCCAAAGUCAGGGCAUCUUCCAGCUCGCCUCUCAGCCCAGCUCUGCCUUUCCUCCUCCCUCAGUCCUUCAGUUGCUGCCAGUUCUGCAAAUUAAUUACACCUGGAGCGCUUUGACAGAGUUGGCUGGACCAUAGGACCUCGGGGCUUGAGGCAAGACAAGAUUGUCCCAAGUGGAAAUACAGACCUCACGCUCCCUCAAGAUAGCUUAGGGUGUGGAUAAGUAUACACCUGCUAUGUAUAACAGGUG